rnacentral:rRNA from 1 species
UACGUAGGGUGCGAGCGUUAAUCGGAAUUACUGGGCGUAAAGCGUGCGCAGGCGGUUCGUUGUGUCGGUGGUGAAAGCCCCGGGCUUAACCUGGGAAUGGCCAUGGAAACUGGCGAACUGGAGUGUGGCAGAGGGGGUGGAAUUCCGCGUGUAGCAGUGAAUGCGUAGAGAAUGCGGAGGAACACCGAUGGCGAAGGCAGCCCCUGGCUAGC